GAUGAACGCUAGCAGGGGGCCUAACACAUGCAAGUCGAAUGCAUUUAGUUGCAUGGCAAACGAGUGAGUAACACGUACUUAAUCUACCCCAGAGUGGGGGAUACCUGUCGAAAGGCAAAUAAUCCCGCAUACGCUCUAUGAAAUGAAAAUACAUAGAGGAAAGAUUUAUCGCUCUAGGAGGGGGGUGCGGUCUACUAGUUAGUUGGUGAGGUAAUGGCUCACCAAGACGAUGAUGGAUAGCUGGUCUGAGAGGAUGAUCAGCCACGAUGGAACUGAGACACGGUCCAUACCCCUACGGGGGGCAGCAGUGGGGAAUAUUGCACAAUGGAGGAAACUCUGAUGCAGCCACCCUGCGUGGAGGAUGAAGCAUUACGGUGUGUAAACUCCUUUUCUGGAGGAAGACGACUGACGGUACUCCAGGAAUAAGCGACGGCUAACUACG
rnacentral:rRNA from 1 species